AUGCCCAAUGGGGCACAAGCUUCGACUGAGGAGGGCGAGGCGAGCGGGGGCGAGAGCCAGGAAGAGGAGGAAUGGGACUCGGAUGUUGCAGAGGACGAUGACGACGAUGACGAUGAUGACGACGAUGAAGACGACGUCGAGGACGAGGAAGAAGAGGAGGAGGAGGUCGUACCGCCGCUCUCAGAAAGGCGGUCGAAGCUUGUCCACGACCCUUCGACCGAACGUGGUAAGGGGGUUGCGACCGCCACCCAGUCGACCAAGCGCCCUCGGACCACCUCUCCGGUGCCGACUGAAAAGGCGCCGAAGCAGCCCAGGGCGGCCUCGUCGAAGCCGAUCAAACUCUUGCCGAAGAUGAAGGUGUCCAUCCCUACCAUAUCAGGGUAA
rnacentral:rRNA from 1 species